AGUACCGUGAGGGAAAGGUGAAAUGAAAGUUUACAAACGUAAACUUAAAAUAACAUUGAAAUUUAAUGCUGACAAGCAGUUGAAGCUUUUAAAACCAAAAGUAACAGCGUACCUUUUGCAUAAUGGAUCAACGAGUUUAUUUUAGUGGCGAGCUUAAGCAACAAGAAAUUGCGAAGGCGAAAAGAAACUAAGUUUUAAAAGGCUGUUAAGUCUCUAAAAUAAGACCCGAAACUAAGUGAUCUAACCAUGACCAGGCUGAAUUUCAAGCGGCAACGCUUAUUGGAGGGCCGAACCCGUGUAUGUGGAAAAAUACUGGGAUGAGUUGUGGUUAGGGGUGAAAGGCCAA
rnacentral:rRNA from 1 species